rnacentral:lncRNA from 1 species
AAAGGGUGGAAAGAAAAGCAUUACAUUGUUGAAAUUCAAGGACAGUUGCUGUGAGAAACCUCGAGUUAGGUCGAUGCCUUACAUUAGGCUAAUUCUCAAGAUAAUCUCGGACACCAUCUUUUUCAGCUUGUCUCCUCAACUCUGCUGCUUCUCUGAACAGAACCGAAGCUAUUCGAUUUUCAGUUUCCAGAUCCAUCAGCAGAAGCAGGCUGUUAAAGUAACCAAACACUC